GAUGAAGAACGCAGCGAAAUGCGAUAAGUAAUGUGAAUUGCAGAAUUCAGUGAAUCAUCGAAUCUUUGAACGCACAUUGCGCCCGCCAGUAUUCUGGCGGGCAUGCCUGUCCGAGCGUCAUUUCAACCCUCGAACCCCUCCGGGGGGUCGGCGUUGGGGAUCGGCCCUGCCUCUUGGCGGUGGCCGUCUCCGAAAUACAGUGGCGGUCUCGCCGCAGCCUCUCCUGCGCAGUAGUUUGCACACUCGCAUCGGGAGCGCGGCGCGUCCACAGCCGUUAAACACCCAACCUCUGAAAUGUUGACCUCGGAUCAGGUAGGAAUACCCGCUGAACUUAAGCAUAUCAAUAAGCGGAGGA
rnacentral:misc_RNA from 1 species